CAGGCCUAACACAUGCAAGUCGAACGAUGAAGCCCAGCUUGCUGGGUGGAUUAGUGGCGAACGGGUGAGUAACACGUGAGUAACCUGCCCUUAACUCUGGGAUAAGCCUGGGAAACUGGGUCUAAUACCGGAUAGGAGCGUCCACCGCAUGGUGGGUGUUGGAAAGAUUUAUCGGUUUUGGAUGGACUCGCGGCCUAUCAGCUUGUUGGUGAGGUAAUGGCUCACCAAGGCGACGACGGGUAGCCGGCCUGAGAGGGUGACCGGCCACACUGGGACUGAGACACGGCCCAGACUCCUACGGGAGGCAGCAGUGGGGAAUAUUGCACAAUGGGCGCAAGCCUGAUGCAGCGACGCCGCGUGAGGGAUGACGGCCUUCGGGUUGUAAACCUCUUUCAGUAGGGAAGAAGCGAAAGUGACGGUACCUGCAGAAGAAGCACCGGCUAACUACGUGCCAGCAGCCGCGGUAAUACGUAGGGUGCGAGCGUUAUCCGGAAUUAUUGGGCGUAAAGAGCUCGUAGGCGGUUUGUCGCGUCUGUCGUGAAAGUCCGGGGCUUAACCCCGGAUCUGCGGUGGGUACGGGCAGACUAGAGUGCAGUAGGGGAGACUGGAAUUCCUGGUGUAGCGGUGGAAUGCGCAGAUAUCAGGAGGAACACCGAUGGCGAAGGCAGGUCUCUGGGCUGUAACUGACGCUGAGGAGCGAAAGCAUGGGGAGCGAACAGGAUUAGAUACCCUGGUAGUCCAUGCCGUAAACGUUGGGCACUAGGUGUGGGGACCAUUCCACGGUUUCCGCGCCGCAGCUAACGCAUUAAGUGCCCCGCCUGGGGAGUACGGCCGCAAGGCUAAAACUCAAAGGAAUUGAC
rnacentral:rRNA from 1 species